CCCUUAGAUGUUCUGGGCCGCACGCGCGCUACACUGACGAAUGCAACGAGCUUAUAACCUUGGCCGAAAGGUCUGGGUAAUCUCCAAAUUUCGUCGUGAUGGGGAUAGAUUAUUGCAAUUAUUAAUCUUCAACGAGGAAUGCCUAGUAAGCGCAAGUCAUCAGCUUGCGUUGAUUACGUCCCUGCCCUUUGUACACACCGCCCGUCGCUCCUACCGAUUGAAUGGUCCGGUGAAGCGUUCGGACCGUGGCUUGGUCGCUUGCGUCCGACUGCUGAAACUUGAUUAAACCAUAUCAUUUAGAGGAAGGUGAAGUCGUAACA
rnacentral:rRNA from 1 species